AUUAAGUUUAAUUUAAUAUAGGAUCUGCUCAAUGAUUUAUUAAAUAGCUGCAGUAUUUUGACUGUGCAAAGGUAGCAUAAUAAUUAGUCUUUUAAUUGGGGACUUGUAUGAAAGAUUUGAUGAGAAAUAAACUUUAUUAUUUAUAUAAUUAAAAUUUUAUUUUUAAGUAAAAAAGCUUAAAUUUUUUAAAGGGACGAUAAGACCCUAUAAAACUUUAUAAAUGUAAAUUUUAAUUUUUUUGGAUUUAUAAAUAUUUUAAUUUUAUUAUUUAUUUUAUUGGGGUGAUAAAAAAAAUUAUUAAACUUUUUUUAAAAUUUUACAUUAUUUAAUGAAUAUUUGAAUUAAAAUUUUUAAUUAAAGGAAAAAGUUACCUUAGGGAUAACAGCGUAAUUAAUUUUUUAAGUUCAAAUUUAAAAAUAUAGUUUGCGACCUCGAUGUUGAAUUAAGAUUAAUCUUAGGUGCAAAAUUUUAAGUAUUAGGUCUGUUCGACCUUUAAAUUCUUACGUGA
rnacentral:rRNA from 1 species